CAACGUCUCCUAAUUCUUCCUGCAUCUGAACUGCAGUGGUUAUCUGAACAGGAAGUAGUGCUGCAGCCUUAGCAGCUAGGUCAGCCGCUCUGUUUCCUCUAGACACUUCAUCAAUGCCUGUGGUCCCAGAUAGCACUGAACGUCUUGCCGACGUUGGCAAUUGGAGGGCACCAGCGGCAAAGUAUCGGGAGGGGAUUUUCCCCUGCACAACAAAAAACUUUGGUGGGUAAACCAUCGGCGGGCCGCGGGAUGAAUAGCCACUUUCAUGCACAACUCCGGAGAUCGGUGGAGGAACCGUGAUGAACCAUUUUGCCGAUCCCGCUUCUAUUUUUUUAAAUAAAUAAUAUCUGCGCAACCGUUGGUCCACAUCAAGACCUUCACGCGCGUGCACACGUUUUUAUGACGGUGCGCUAUGCGCGUGAGUGAUCUCAGCAUCGUCUACACUACAGCCUACAGCUAAGUCUACAGCAACGGACUCUGAGCUACAUACACCCCAAAGGCUCUUUUCAGAGCCCAGGCCCAUUUUGCACAGCGUCUUUGCCUUUGUACAUGUACUUGCCGCGUCAGCACACACGACGGCUGGAACUACAGUAUGGUCUUCCCAGUGGACCAGCACCACAUCCAUCUGGAUUGAGACGAGUAGGGGACAUCUCUAGGGUCUUCACAUAUUGAUACACACACCAUUGCAAGGCAAGGCAAGGCAAG